rnacentral:rRNA from 1 species
CCGCACAAGCGGUGGAGCAUGUGGUUAAUUCGACGCAACGCGAAGAACCUUACCAGGGCUUGACAUCCCCUGACCGCGUAUGAAAGUACGUUUUCACCCUCGGGUGACAGGGAGACAGGUGGUGCAUGGUUGUCGUCAGCUCGUGUCGUGAGAUGUUGGGUUAAGUCCCGCAACGAGCGCAACCCCUACGUUUAGUUGCUAACAGGUGAAGCUGAGCACUCUAGACGAACUGCCGUUGACAAAACGGAGGAAGGUGGGAUGACGUCAAAUCAUCAUGCCCCUUAUGUUCUGGGCUACACACGUGCUACAAUGGCCGGUACAGACGGAGGCGAAGCCGCGAGGCGGAGCAAAUCCGAAAAAGCCGGUCUCAGUUCGGAUUGCAGGCUGCAAUUCGCCUGCAUGAAGUCGGAAUCGCUAGUAAUCGCAGGUCAGCAUACUGCGGUGAAUACGUUCCCGGGCCUU